rnacentral:rRNA from 1 species
CUGGGGAGUACGGUCGCAAGAUUAAUACUCAAAGGAAUAGACGGGGACCCCGCACAAGCGGUGGAGCAUGUGGUUUAAUUCGAAGAUACGCGAAAAACCUUACCUGGCCUUGACAUUGAUAGAAUCCUGUAGAGAUACGGGAGUGCCGGCUUGCCGGAACUUGAAAACAGGUGCUGCACGGCUGUCGUCAGCUCGUGUCGUGAGAUGUUGGGUUAAGUCCCGCAACGAGCGCAACCCACGUCCUUAGUUGCCAGCAUUUCGGAUGGGAACUCUAAGGAGACUGCCUUCGCAAGGAGGAGGAAGGUGUGGACGACGUCAAGUCAUCAUGGCCCUUACGGCCAGGGCUACACACGUGCUACAAUGGGGCGUACAAAGAGCAGCAAUACCGCGAGGUGGAGCAAAUCUCAAAAACGCCUCCCAGUUCAGAUUGCACUCUGCAACUCGAGUGCAUGAAGUUGGAAUCGCUAGUAAUCGUAGAUCAGCAUUGCUACGGUGAAUACGUUCCCGGGUCUUGUACUCACCGCCCGUCACACCAUGGGAGUUGAUUUCACCCGAAGCGGGGAUGCCAAAGUAGCUACCUUUCACGGUGUAAUCAGCGAGUGGGGUGAAGUCGUAA